AUUUAUAUAACUCUGUGCGACAUUUAUCUCCAUGAUGAAUGAUCGAUAGUUUAUAUAAAAUCCAUUAUAAACAUUGCUAGAGAAGAUGCCACACAGCUGUCACUAGCACCGAUCUGUUUGAAAAAAUCUCAGGUUAUAUGCCGAUGACAGGUGAAGAUUUGGUAUGCUGACUUGGAGAAAUAACAGUCAGAUAAGUAUAAAUAAUGUGUUUCUUGGAUCUCUCUCUGCGUGCACAAGAACCUAACUGAAUAAAAACUUUAAUUCUUUAAUGUGUAUUUUUCUUUAGUUUUGGUGGUGAGAGAGAGUUUUGCAGCUGUCAGGUAUACCCACUCAAUGCACCACUAGCAAAGUGAGGAGCUGUCAACUAUCUAGAACUUUGCACAGCUGUCACUAUGUAAAGAUGUUGUAAUAUACAGUUGCAAGUACAGCAGACUACACAGAAGGUGCAUACUACUGUCGCUGCACGAAACUCAGCACUGGAUAUAAAAAUAAAUAUAGAAGACCAGUCAGACUUGUGUGCAACUAUCAUCCACCAACUUGAUACAGGAUAUUUAUGUAAGUAGCAGAAAUAGAUGUUGUAAUACUUUCAGAUAAUGUCAGGGAGGUAGGUAGAAAUAAAUCAAGUAAAUAAAAUUCAAUCUAGGUGUCAAGUCAGUAUAAUAGAAAUAAGGCAGUUGAGACUCCGUGUAUAUUAGUAGGUUGUGGUAGAAUGUAGUUGAGUGUUAGAGUGCUUUUAUGUGUAAAAAUGAACAAAAAUAGAUGUAAUAUGGUACAAAUGAGAUAAUAAAGAGCUGCAAAACUUAAAUAAGACUAAACAAAUUAGGAGAUCCAGAAAUUUAUUGAUGAAAAUUACAAAAAGACUGGCAGACACCUGUGACAGGCACUGUAUGUGUAUGAUUAUAAGUAAUUAAUAAGUUCCUUGAUUUGUUGUGUUUUGUUCUGUGUGGGAACAUCGCGAAAAGAUGAAAACAAAUACAAUAAAACAAUACAAAAAUAU